UCACAAAAAGAACACCAAACAAAUUUAAAAAGUUUGUCAAAAUUGUUCGCAAAGUAAAAAUUAAAAAACCCAAUCAUUUCACUUUUGUGAGUGAAACUUCAAAGUAUUUUUAGAAAUCCUUGAAAUAACUGACCAACUAUUGUUCUAAUAAUAAAAAUUCGAAGGGCAACGUACACAUCCGCAUACAAAUUGUGUACAAAAAGAAACACGUCAAAGGCACGCAACAUGUAAUACUUAUUUCAUCCUCAAAACACAAAUAAUAACAAUAACUGACCUUAUACUAUAAUAUAUUGAAUUAGAAAUAGUUUUUCUUUUAUCUAAAACAAAGAUAGCUAAUUCUACCUCUGCCUCUCUUAACUCCCGUUUCUGCUUCUAAUAUGUGUCUAACGAGGCCUUCAUAUCUGAGAAAGGGCACCUAGCCCUCUGUUCUCAUACUCAUUCUAAAACUACCUAUUUCUCAUUUUCCUUAUGCAGGGUAUUUUUAAAAUUACUACACUUUAUAUACCGUUACACCUUUCUCGUGACUUUAUUUUAUGUGGGAAGUACUUUUACGUAAAACUAAAGCAAUAAACCGAUUACUACAAAACAAAAUACGUUUUUAAGCGCCAAAAUUUGUACAAAGUACAAUAUAAACUGUGCAAAUGAACUUUGUAUUCACAAAUAGCUAAAUUCAUUCAUCAGGUUCGUCAUUACGUGAUAUCUGCGUAACCGUUUCAAAAAAAAAAAAAACAAAAUGUACCAUAAAAUCGUGAUGCCUGUAAAGCACAUCAACAAGAUAACUCGUUGUUUAAUGUGAUCUUCCAAUGAAUACGUAUAUACCUAGAUAAAAGUUCUUCUAAUUGUAUCAUAAGAGGUAAUACAAUUAGUUCAAAAACUAUUUGACGAAGAAAUCUGAAAUAUGACACAAUAACAAAUCAUAUUCAUUUGCGUAUUUUAUUCAUUUACACAUAUAUUUCAGCCUAGUUGUUUAUAAUUUUAUAAUCUGUUACAAACUGCAGUAUUUUUUGUAUCUUAGUUCUAAGACUCGUUCAAAGUAGAAUUACGCCCAUUAGAAUGAGGCUUAUUUAUAGGGUGCAGAAUCUUAGUUGAUACUUCGCGAAUAAUAAAAAAAUAGAGAAAGAGAAGGGGUGACUACAAUAUUAUUUAAACAAGACAAAAUCCCUGCAGACACUUUCUUUCGAAUAAAAAUUUUUCAUUUGUAUCAACUACAGUUUAUUUUGCAUUUUGCUUUCGAUAUAGAUAUUUUUUAUUACGGUGAUGUAGUGGAGGUGUAAAAAUUAGUUGUAGGGAGCGAAACCCUCCAAUAUUAAAUUAUGAUUUUUGAGUUAGAUUUUUUCUUGUCCCACAAUAAUUUUUUGUAUAUUAGCUCUAAGAGUAAUUUAAAGUAGGAUUAUGCCUAUGAGAUAAUUCGUCAAAAGGUCUGAGGGUUAUUUCUAGGAUGCGAAACCCUCCAAUAUUAAAUUAUUAUUUUUCGGUGGAAGUUGUUCUUGUCCCACAAUAAUUUUUUGUAUCGUAGCUGCAAGAGUCAUUUAAAGUGGGAUUAUGCCUAUAAGAUAAUUUUGAGGGUUAUUUCUAGGGUGCGAAACCCUGCAAUAUUAAAUUAUGAUUUUUGAGUUGUUGUUGUUCUUAUCCCAUUGUUCUUUGUAUCUAAGCUCUAACAAUCAUUAAAAUUAAGAUUAGAAUGAUUAUAUACGUGGGUCCAUACAUAUUUGAACACGAGUUAUAAGAAUGGUGCAUUGCAAUGAAUGCGUAAUAAUGUGAACUUGGCAAUGAUCUUGGAUUUUAAAAAUCACGAGGUGCCAAAAAUCUAUUCUAAUCCCUAUAAAGCAGCUUUAACCGUGUAUUCAGGAUUGAAUGAUGUUAACGCAGCGAAAUAAUAGGUAAAGCAAGCUAACUUAACAAAUUCACUUCCAUCUUCAAGCCCGAAACAAUCUUUCGUGGCUGUUUUAGAAAUCGCAGCGGAAUAAGAAUAAUUUCAACAUGAUAA